rnacentral:tRNA from 1 species
GGUUUACCGAGCUUGGUAAGGUGACAUUCUGAAGGGCGAUUGCCUCAGAGAGGCGAUUGUUCUAGACGGAACAUCGUGGGUUCAAAUCCCACACUCAGCG